rfam:Triticum urartu cultivar G1812 contig843584, whole genome shotgun sequence.
UAAGUACUCCCUCCGUCCGAAAAAGCUUGUCCCUCAAAUGGAUGUAUCUAGCAUAGUGCUAGAUACAUCCAUUUGAGGGAUAUGCUAGAUACAUCCAUUUGAGGGACAAGCUUUUCCAGACGGAGGGAGUAUGAA